rnacentral:misc_RNA from 1 species
AUCAAAUAAUCAUAGAUAUAACUCUUUUUUGAAAAAAAGAACAAAGAAGCAAUCUUAGAAAAAUCAGGAAAUAAAAGACCCACAUAGCAUUGUUGAUGUGUUAAAAAAAAGGACAAUUUCAGAUAAACUAGAAACAUAAUAUUCCAACCAGCAUUAAAGAUGAGAGAGAUAAUGAGGGAAGAUUGAAACAAGGUAUGAGAUGGAGCAUGAGUGUUGAAAAUGGAA